AAGAACAGAGGCAAGCCUCCAGCCAGGAGCUCAUGAAAUCAUGAACUGAGGCCUCAGUGCAAUAGCUCAUGAGGAAAUGAAUUAUUUCAACAGCCAGUUAUGCUUCAAGCCAUACUUAAGAUCGAUGAAUCCUCCUUUAUAAACACAGAUGUAGUAAACACUCAGAGAAAACGAGGUUGAAAAACCAAAUGCUGGGGAGGAGCCAAGAUGGCCGAGUAGGAACAGCUCCGGUCUACAGCUCCCAGCGUGAGCGACGCAGAAGACGGGUGAUUUCUGCAUUUCCAUCUGAGGUACCGGGUUCAUCUCACUAGGGAGCGCCAGACAGUGGGCGCAGUUCUGGAAGUUGGAAGUACAAGAUCAGAUUGCCAGCAUCAUCAGGUACUCAUGAGGGCCGUCUUCCAGCUUGCAGACUGCCAACUUCUCAUUGUGUCC
rnacentral:lncRNA from 10 species